CCGGGAAUAGAACACCUAUCAGUGACCACGCCCUCAAAAAGCCGGUUCUCCUUCCCCCAGUAGCUAUCAAUUUCCAGAAGCUAGCCUCCUCAGUAAGGGGUGGGGCCUAGAGAGCACCACCACCAUCCCACCCGACCCCGAUCGGCGCCUGAAUUCUGGCUGUGCAGAGAGCCACAUCUGCGAUGGAAUGGAAAAUCAGCAGGAAAAACACGUGAGUGCUUUCAGCGAGCCUGAAAGUAAAAGGCCUUGGAGAAAGGAGUUCAGCAAAGGAGGGGGCCGAUCACCACCCUAGGAAGAUUUCCAAGACUGGAAGAGUAGCCGCCUCUGGAGGUCAUCCGAAGCAGAGGCAGGCCUGGGAAACUGUCCAGAGGACCCGGAAGGAAAAUGUAAAGCUGUGAGAAAUGGACCAGGGAGAGGUGAGACCAAAGUGAGGCCUUAAGAUAAGUCCUAUCAAGUCUAAACCCAAACAGACAAUCCCAGGUCUGUAAGCCAUGAAUGUUUGGAAGCUGACAACAGGACAGUGGCAGGCUGUCCUAUCCCAUGGGAAGGAAAGCUGUCAAGGAAGCCUAUUUGGGACUCAGGGAUUGGGGAAAAGCUAACUGUUGAAGACACUUAUAAUCCACUAAGCCUCCCCAGGAACCCACAGCUUAUUGUUUUGAUGGAUCUUUAACCCUUCUAACGGAUGCAUCCCUUACUAUCCAGAAAAUUCUCUUUCUAUUAAAAACAAAACAACAAAA